AGAAGAAGACUAGGUCUGUCAAGGCUAUACAGAAACUGUCCAACACUUGGACUUUGCACUGUUGCUGAAUGUGGUUAUUAGCUCCGAGAGUUUUUUUUUUAAUAUUUUGGGGUUUUCUUUAUAAAGGAUAGAUCAUCUACAAAUACUUCUUGCUUUUCAAUUUAGAUGAUGUUUCCUUUCCUGCCCAAUUUAUCUGGUUAAAACGUCUGAUACACUGUUGAAUAGAAGAGGCAAGGGCACAUGUUCAUGUCUUGUUCCUGAUAUUGGGAGAAAGCAUCCCGUUUUUCACCACUCUGGCCAGGACAGCCUAUCUGUGCAGGAGGCAUUGCUGGCACCCCGUGGGGACUGAGGACCAAGGAGGAGCUGCUCCCCCACACACGAAACGGGGUUUCACCAUGUUAGCCAAGAUGGUCUCGAUCUCCUGACCUCGCGAUCCGCCCGCCUUGGCCUCCCAAAGUGCUGGGAUUAU
rnacentral:lncRNA from 1 species